CGAGAAAGCCCUUCGGGGUUAGUAAAGUGGCGAACGGGUGAGUAACACGUGGGCAAUCUGCCCUUCGUAGGGGGACAACCGGGGGAAACCCCGGCUAAUACCCCGUAAGCUUGUCGGGUCGCAUGGCCUGACAAGGAGAGGUAGCUUCGGCCAUCCGGCGAAGGAGGAGCCCGCGGUUCAUUAGCUUGUUGGUGAGGUAAAGGCUCACCAAGGCUACGAUGUAUAGCUGGUCUGAGAGGAUGAUCAGCCACACUGGGACUGAGACACGGCCCAGACUCCUACGGGAGGCAGCAGUCGGGAAUCUUGCACAAUGGGCGAAAGCCUGAUGCAGCAACGCCGUGUGAGCGACGAAGGCCCUAGGGUCGUAAAGCUCUGUUGUUAGGGACGAAGGGCGAAGGGUUAAUAGCCCUUAGCCUGACGGUACCUUUCGAGGAAGCCCCGGCUAACUACGUGCCAGCAGCCGCGGUAAUACGUAGGGGGCGAGCGUUGUCCGGAAUUAUUGGGCGUAAAGGGCGCGUAGGCGGCCUGGUAAGUCUGCUGUGAAACCUUGGGGCUCAACCCCAAGCGUGCAGUGGAUACUGUCAGGCUAGAGGAUGGUAGAGGCCAGUGGAAUUCCCAGUGUAGCGGUGAAAUGCGCAGAUAUUGGGGAGGAACACCAGUAGCGAAGGCGGCUGGCUGGGCCAU
rnacentral:rRNA from 1 species